rnacentral:rRNA from 1 species
UACGUAGGGCGCAAGCGUUGUCCGGAAUUAUUGGGCGUAAAGAGCUCGUAGGCGGUUUGUCGCGUCUGCUGUGAAAACCUAAGGCUCAACCUCGGGCCUGCAGUGGGUACGGGCAGACUAGAGUGCGGUAGGGGAGAUUGGAAUUCCGGGUGUAGUGGUGGAAUGCGUAGAGAUCCGGAGGAACACCAGCGGCGAAGGCGGCAUCCUGGACUGGUACUGACGCUCAGGAGCGAAAGCGUGGGGAGGCGAUCCGG